AGUAGUGUAUGCUUCUCCUAAAGACUAAGCCAUGCAUGUCUUCGAAUAAGAGGAAGCAAUUCUCUCUGAAUCUGCGAACGGCUCCGCAAACCAGUUGUAAACUAUGGCAAGCACGCCCAGGUCGCCGCAAGGCGGCUUGGGCAACACGGCUAACCCUGGUAAUUCUGAGGCUAAUACGACAAACGUAAAACCCGGCUGACCCUCACGGGAAGGCCGGGGAACGUGCGACGCAACACGGAAUAACUGGGAAAGGGCGCACGUUAAGACCGCGCUAAAAAGCACUGGGUGAACGCUUGCUUGCAAGCUGAAGCCCAGCGCCAGCGGCUCUUGCAGUGUGCUCCUGACCUAUCAACUAGAAGGCAGUGUAACGGACAUGCCUUGGUUACAACGGGUACAGAGGAUUAGGGUUCGAUCCUGGAGAGUGGGCCUGAGAGAUUGCUCAUACUUCUAAGGAAGGCAGCAGGCGCGCAACGUUCCCAUUGGGCAUUGCCCGAGGGCGUUAGGGGAAAUAUGAAUGCCUGCCAUUACGGUGGGCAAUUCAAAUGGGUCUGUUCUAAACAGCCUCU
rnacentral:rRNA from 1 species